GGGUUAGGGUAGAUAGGAGGGAGAGGUGCGUGGGAGUAGGGUUGCGGCGGCAAUUGGAGGAGGGAAGCGGCAUGGGUGGAGGGAGGCGCACGCGGUGGCCGGAGGAGGCGACGGCGGCUAGGGUAGGGAUUGUGGUAAGGCUGGUACCAUGUAGCCGUAUAUAAUGCGACUUUCGAUGUAUUAAUCGGAUGCAAGCGCACGAUAUAU
rnacentral:lncRNA from 1 species